CUCGCCACGUGUCCUGCUUUGCUGACCUUGCCUUUUUUUUUUUCAACCGAAAUAUGCCAAACGACUUCGUUUCUUACUUUGUCACUGUUUCUCCCCAUCAAUGACAAACCCUAGCUGGCAAUCACGUGUUUCCUCUGCCAUUCUACCCACUCCACCGUACCAUUCAUCUUCUUCUCUUUUCUUGAUUUCUCUUCCACAGCUCAUAGUUUCCCAUCUACUGUCGUCAUCUCGCGUCUCUACUUCCUUCGAUUGCAUCAUCACUGACGCUUGCCGUUCCGUGCUCAAGGAGAUUUCGCUCGCCGGAAAUGGAGGAACCAGCCAUAUUUCGACAGCUCCCUUCAUCUACUGUUGUUUGCUCAUCCUUCUCUCUUUUUCUAGAUCUGAAAGCAUUUCCAAGGAGCAAAUCGCGGGUGAGCAAUCCUUGGUGGCUAUGUUUUGCUGUAUAAAUAGGGGAUGCUUGUGUGUGUGUGUUGCAAUAAGUAAUGUUUCUAGGAAGAUUUUUAAUGAACGCAACAACUUCUUUGAUUCUACAGGGCCAGAGAUGGACUUUCAAGGAGAAACCAACCCUCAAUCCUUCAUAUACAGUUGCUAUGCACAAGGUUGGUGUUUGUUUCGUUCAAAAAUUGAUGGAAGAUAUGGACUUUUAUGCCAUGAGGAGGAAGAGACUACAAGCUCUGUGCAAGAAACAUGACAUCUCUGCUAAUUUGAAGAGCAAAUAAAUGGCAGACAAGCUUUCCUUGAUUUUUAAGCACCUUAUUAGGUGUUGGAAUUGAGACUAAGAUGAAAACUUACUUGGUAGCAGUCAUGGAUUGAACUCUUUCAAGGAGGGGCAGAGUUUGUCUUGAUGCCAUAGGUGGCCUAUCCUUAACAGAUAAUAGAACUGAUGCAAGUGGAAGGCCUGACCAAUGUUGAAGGCAAAAACCAUUUGCAAGAGAUGGUUAAAGGAAGCUGACAUGUCUCUUAAUUGUAUUGAUAAUUCAAUGGUGUGAGCCUCUGAAGAAUAUCAUUCUGUUGUUGGGGAGUGAAGGAUGGUGUUGUAAUUCAAUUCUAUGUUUGAAGGCGAGGUAGCAGAGUUGAUGUGGGGAAUAUGAUCUCUUAAUUUUGAUUUAUGGGUUGAAGAAUUGAUGUUUUAUGUUGCCGGUUGAGAUUGAAUGUUGCGGAUUGAGCAUGAAUUUCUCCUGCUAUUGGCCUAUUGCAAUGAAUGAUGAAAACUGUGGAGUUUACUGUAAAAACUUUCUAUACUUGUAUGAGUGAGAGACCGUUAGAGGAACAUUAACAAAAGAAACAGAUGGAGUCUAUUGUAUAUGUCAUUCUAAUAUCUCACAUGUUAAUGUGUCAUGUGAGAUGUUUUGAGUUUACAUGACAUUUGCUUGAAGUGAGUAUGCUAUUGUUGUCA